rnacentral:lncRNA from 10 species
AUUUUUUAAUUUGUUGUGGACCAAAUAUAUGUAUCCUCCCCAAUUCAUAUGUUGAAGCUCUCUCCCCCAGUGUGGCUGUAUUUAGAGUAAAGAAGUAAUUAAAUAAAGUCAUAGUGUGGGGCACUGAUCCAAUAGGAUUAGUUUCCUUAUAAGAGGAGACACCACAGAACUCACUCCCUUGCUGCCUCUGUGUGUAUGCACUGAGGAAAAGCCAUGUGAGGACACAGUGAGAAGGCAGCUGUCUGCAAGCCAGGAAGAGAGCCCUCACCAGCAACUGAAUUGGCCGGAACUUUGAUCUUUGGAUUUCCCAGCUUCCAGAACUGGCCACCGGGGAGGAAAGGAAGAAAGCAGCACAGAGCCAAGUUUGAAGUCCUGGAAGAGAAUCUCCUGAGACAUUGGCUGAGGAACACAGAAAGUUACUUGUGGCAGAAUCUUUCUGGAAUUUUUCCAUUCUGGGAUACUCUGAGCCCAUUUUGUCACAGGUCAUCAUGACUUGAUGAAUGAAUAUCAUAUUGGUUAAUUCCUGCGGCUUAAUAAAAUCCUUUGUUCAAGAACAGCAUGAAAUUUUCAGAGUGUAUCGACUCCUUGUUAGCUAUGAUUGAGACUAAGAGUGCCU